rnacentral:lncRNA from 1 species
GGGCGAGUUGGCGAGGGCCUGCGGGAGGCGCCGGCAGAGGCAGUUGCUGGGGCUGUCGCUGCCGCCCUUCGCCCGGCUCAUAGCGCUCCCCGCGCGAGGGGCGCGCCAACCCCCCGGCCACCUCCCUCCCCACUCCUCAAGGGAGCCAUAGCGCCCGGGGCUGCCAACUCCAGCGCCGCACAGAGUCCCAACCUGUGGCGAUCGCCGGGUCCCGAGAGGAGCCGGAGGAAAAGAAUUUGUUCCCCACGUGCGAGUACCCCAGACAGGCGGCCGCUCAGCCCCAGCCCCUAUCUGUCACAGGAGCAGGAGUCAGCUCCGCCGCGGCCAAGUACAAACGGCCGCGGGGUUGCUGACAGCUCUGCCCGCAAGGCGUCUUUUAAAAAGGAAGAGGGAGGAGGAGACAAUGAGGGUUAAGAAAGAGUCCGCCCUCCCGGAUCGCGCCUCUGGAGCUAAUCACAGCGGGUGCGGCGCGGGCCGAGGGUCCUCUGCGCUUUCUGGUUCGCGCUCCAUCCUCCGCCUCCCCCCGGCCACCCCCGCCCAUGCCGCUCCCCCAGGACUUGACUCUCAACCUGAAGAUAUCAGACCCUCCCCUCCCCCGCCGCACACCCCAACUCUCUCACAGCCCGGAAAUCUCUGCAGAGUGACGUUGAGGGCUGCCGAAUUCCCGCGUUUAUCCACGCACGUGGGCGCGCGAGUGGAGACGCUGGAUUUACUUUUCAAUGGAUAUAAUGCAUGAAUGCGGUGCAGUCAUUGAAGUUUGUCGAAUCAUCUGUGCCCUGUUGCACAGACUCAGACUCGUUCCUGGGAUACCGCUUCUAAAGGUUCAGGACCGAGAACAUGGUUUUUAGGUGUCGCCAACAUGUGCUGAGCUUUCCACCUACGUUUCCACUUUUUCUGGGAGGAACGGCACAUUUUCACAAGCACACACACACACACACUCGCACUUUUUCCGCCGGCUGAAGGAUUGCCGGUCACCUCUGCCAGCCAAGGCCAGCUCGCAAAACCUCAAAGAGCACGACUUCUCCGUUCACGCCCGCAAAGGAAAUAAAGGAGCAAAAUUAAUGAUAAUUGAGCAGAACUGAACUUCUGUUCAGGGAAAGAAACACAUUUAUUUAAAUGAUGUGUCCCCUGUGGGCUAUUUUCAGGGGCACUGCUCCGUUAGCGGCCUAAGUGCCUUAUGAAACUGGUGUUAUGUGAAACCUGGGCCAAACGCAAGCAUUUAUUUUGACUGCAUCCUGAACUUCCAAUCAUCGUCUAUUGGUAUGUGUGAAUAUGUUCGGUGUAUCUCGGCUUAUUUGUCAAACAAGCUGCAUACCCGUGUCCCUGAGUUAGAUGUCGGCAAGUUGAGUGAAACAAAAGGAACAAAGUGUUCUCAGCUCCAGCGACACAAGGUGCGCGGUCAAACGCAUUUAUCACGUUCGCAGCUUCCUGAUGAACCGAGUCGAUUCCGGAGAAACUUUUUUAAAAAUCUCCUAUUAAAACGAUUUCUUUUUUUU